AAUUCUGAUAUAACUUUAAUUUUAACUUUGGAUUAUCUGUGAAGCGAAUACAUGAGGGCUCACAGUGAGCUUCACUCAUGGGACGCGUUUGUGUUCGGAUCCUCCAUCUUGUUUUGAGCGGGAAGCACACUUUAAUUUUUUCCUCCUUUCUAUUAAUUAAGUGGACUUUGUAGGUUGAAUGUUGAUACUUGUUUUUUGAAUGCACCAUGCAAGGAAACGGCGGCAAUUAUGGCGUUGAAUUAUCGUGCGCUCAUCUUUGGUCUGUGCACUCCUUUCUUAGUUGGUCAGUCAGACGGCUCCUUCCUCCACGACAUCGAGCUUGUAUCUUGGCAGCAAUUGGAGUAAAACACAUUUUUUUGUUAAAUGUGAAAUACUGACAUGAUUGUUUUCUUCUGUAUUUAUUCCCAGAUUCACCUGCAGCGUGUCGCAGAGGAGAAAUAAAUUCAUUCACAUGGGUAUGUUCUGAUGCACGUUUACAUUUAAAUAUUGAAGUAGAAUUUGCUGAUCUGACAUCUGUUAAUCUCAAGACUGCUAUCUUCAUUGGGCUGGAUCAGUAUCUACCAGGGCUACUGGACCUGUACGAGGUCACGGCUGGGACGCUAGCUGGACUGAGCAAGCUGUUCUGAACAACCCUCAACUCAAAGAAAGAUGGAAAUUGUUCUGCUGGGCCUUCCCCACUUAAGGAGGACCCCUCAUGGCAUUCCAAAACUGCUGAGGUAAGUUUAAUUUGACCAC